GACGAACGCUGGCGGCGUGCUUAACACAUGCAAGUCGAACGGAAAGGCCCUGCUUUUGUGGGGUGCUCGAGUGGCGAACGGGUGAGUAACACGUGAGUAACCUGCCCUUGACUUUGGGAUAACUUCAGGAAACUGGGGCUAAUACCGGAUAUGAGCUCCUGCUGCAUGGUGGGGGUUGGAAAGUUUCGGCGGUUGGGGAUGGACUCGCGGCUUAUCAGCUUGUUGGUGGGGUAGUGGCUUACCAAGGCUUUGACGGGUAGCCGGCCUGGGAGGGUGACCGGGCACAUUGGGACUGAGAUACGGGCCGGACGCCUACGGGAGGCAGAAGUGGGGAAUAGUGCACAAUGGGCGGAAGCCGGAUGCAGCAACGCCGCGUGCGGGAUGACGGCCUUCGGGUUGGAAACCGCUUUCGCCUGUAACGAAGCGUGAGUGACGGUAAUGGGUAAAGAAGCACCGGCUAACUACGUG
rnacentral:rRNA from 1 species